rnacentral:lncRNA from 1 species
UUUAGAGGUGACUCUGGGAUGCAUUCUCAAAUACAGUGCAUGCUUUCUAAAUUUACAGUCUGAUUUAUUGCUGCCAGUUAUGACUGCCAAAUGCUUCUGACAGUGUGGCCAGUUUGUGGUGUCCCUAAAAAUCAUCAGCAAUUUGAAAACAUUAGCACCCGGCAAUAGUCGUACUUCGCAAUGAUUGCCUGUAUUUAUCACCUUACUUUUCCAGGGUACAAACUGAAAAAAAAAAUCAAGGAGGAAAAUUAAACUUCUCUAGCAGCACGGAAAAUACAGCAUUGGAAAUAAAAUGCAUCGUAGGAACUCAGCCCCUCCCUGUAUUCUUUAAAAAUUAAAAUAAACAAUUUAAACUCUGUGGCUUAUGUGGCUACGUAGAAGAAAAAUAUUGCACUGAACUAGUUCCUGGAAAUGCAGGAGUAGACAAGAAAGGCUUGACUUCCAUAGGGGUCUUGCAGUUUACUGAGAUGCACAAUUAUGUUGUUACAAUUGGGAAGAAGAGACGUGCAAGUCCUGGGCGACUACAGACAGCAAGGUAAAGGUACACCUCCCUGAAGAACAAGAGCAAAUCUGAAACCUGAAAGAUGGUUAUGAACAAAGCACUGUGUAACAUGGGGAUUGGGAGAACAUUCCAAGCCGAGAAAGGACAGCGGUGAAGGUUCCACAUGGCGCCACCUUACAGGGAUUUGCAGUGUGUGCAGCACCAAGGUGCUGGCCAGAAGCCCAAAUUCUGCAUGCAGAACACACCUAAGUCAUAGAGUCUCCAAAGAAAUUGCCUGGAAGCUCCGAUUUUAAUGGAAAGUUUUUCUGUAGUUGUGGAUGGAAACCUGAGCUAUCCUAUAUUAUGCAGCUCUACACUGUCAGUGACCUUGUGAUGUGGCUCUGAGUUUUCACAAGGUCACCCAGGCCCGACAGAACACACAACCGAAGGCGCAGGGGUUGCGGCACAGCACAUCCGUACUUGUAGACAUCGCGUGGCCCUGCGUCCUGGCAGGGCAGGGCAGAGAACAAAACCACUCUCAAGGCCGGCACAGUCCCACCAGCAGGCCCUUGGAGGAGCGUCAAAUCCUGCCACAGACACAGGACCCAUCUACAUGGCUUCUUGGCCCUGAGGAGAUGGGCUGCUGAAGCCAGCACCUCCAAUUCUGUCUAUAGUGGAAAACAGAGAGGCUGAGGACUGAAUACCUGCUGUCUGAGUUGGUUCAAUGUACAGGAACGGGACUUUAAUUCAGGGAGGUGAGAUGUGAGAAAGAGCAACUUCGAAAGUCACCCAUCUCACACCUGUAGCCUGAACUUGACAAUUCUACUCCUAUAACAACAACAACCGCUGCAGCAACAUUCAGAUACACCCACUGUGAGGCAGGCACACCACAGCCUUCUUGCCCUUACAAACCAUAGGCAGCACCUCAGCACCACAUCUGGGGGCCACUGUGAACAGUGAAAUAACCAACAAAAAGCACAAAAAUCCAAAAAUUAUGGCACUAAAUGGACUGCAAAAUGGACACUUGCUUACAGUAUGAGAAAUGAAACAAGAAGGCAGAGAAUCGCCUUCUUCAGCCUCAGCUGAGAACGUGUGCAUUGGACGACUCAAAUUUUUCACUUCUCUGUGCAUGUCCAAGAAUGACCAUAUUGAGUAGGGGGUUACAAGUAAAUUUGAGCAAGUAGGCAAAUUCCCAAGGAGAAUUUGUGAAUAAUGUGGAUCGACUUUAUAUAUUCUUUUGCCAUGAUGUUGCCUACAACUGGUGGGGAAGAUGGGCAUUAAGAAAUUACAAGUAUAACAAAUAGCACUGGAGGGAGGAGGAGAUGAAGAGACUACAAAUCCAUACAAUGAGGAAACCUCAACUAAUAUAAAGGUUCAAGGGCUGACUCCCCAAGGCCUAAGGGACAAAAAGUUAUCCAGCGUGAAAGGGAUUCUGGUUGGACAAAUCAUCAUGUUGCACAGAUCUGACAGCGAGAGAGAAGGUGAUUUUUUUUUUUUCUAGUUCAGAAUGACUGGAGCACAAAAUAAGAAAGGCAGCAUGGGAGAAAGUGAGACUUAAGAGGUGAGAUCUUGAAGGGUCUCACCUUUAAGAUCCUUCAGGGAGCAUCUUGGUAAAGGGUUUGGAGUUCAUUUUUAAGGGCAUUGGAAAGCCCCUGAAGAGGCUGAAGUGUGGGGGAAGGAUUUUUAUCAAUUUUUUAUCUUAGAAGAUUUCUCAGAAUUACAGGGUGCAGGGUUGGAGUGGGUGCAAAGAAUGGUAUAGGGAACACAGGGGCUAUUUCGCUAGACCACAUGGGAAGUGGUGAUGGUUUGGGGGAGGGUGGUGGUCUAUGCCUGGAGAGAAGAUUGUGGAUUUGGGAAGCUUGCUUGGAGAAGAUAGAGAUGAGUGAUUUGAGAUGAUUCCCACGUCUCUGGCUCAACUUAGUAGGGCUAAUGUUGGAAGAGCUGGGUUUGGUUUGACUUGGUUUGGUUUUCUUGGGGUGGCAUAUGAUAUUAGAAGACCUAAUUUGAAUGAAGUACCCACAGACAUUUAAGUGGAACUAUCUAGGAUGCAGAUGAAUGUAUGGGCUUGGAGCUUAGAAAAAAAAAACAGGCUGGAAGUGGAGAUUUGGAAUUCAUCAGAAUAAAGACUGUAACUAAAGCCAUGCAAAUUAGAGAGUGAGGAGUGAAGUGAGAGUGGAGAGUGAGGUGAGAGCGGGGAGUGAGGUGAGAGCGGGGAGUGAGGUGAGAGCGGGG